UUCCACCUCCCUGCAGAUCCACACUUUGUCGGGCGGAGGGAGCGGGGCAGAGCCUCCAGCAUCGCUGGGAGCAAUGGCCCAUGCCCGGCGGCACUGAGGUGGCACAUCACAAUAUGAAGCACCGCUCCCGAUCCAUAGGUUUGUGGGCGGCACAUCCAUGGUGGAGACUUGGGUCAAAGGCAAGCCCACGGAAGUCAGCUCCAAUCCAGUCUUCUAAGCAGGGGUGUGGGAACUGAGGCCUGCUCAAGGUGCUAUCAGUUUUUUUUCUCUGACCAUGAAAAAGGGGAUUUGAAAAUAAAGCUUCGAUGGCAUGCAGAAACAGAGCAUGUGGUUGGAUCAACAAUAGAACAACCUACGG